UGCUAGUUUCUAGCGAAUGGUUCAUUCUUUUUUACUGUGAACUGUUUUAAUUUUUCAGCGUCUGAGGAAUGUCUUUUAGCCAUAGGGAUAGGCUACUAGAAUGUUAACCGAGCUGAAAGUCAGGCUUAGGCCUGGUAUCCUAUUAAUUAUUUACCAAAAGAAUUCAGUAUUAUAAUUGUAACAUAAGCGUAAAAAACUUAUAAAACAACUUUUAACAACGGAUCUCUUGGUUCUCGCAUCGAUGAAGAACGUAGCAAAGUGCGAUAACUAGUGUGAAUUGCAUAUUCAGUGAAUCAUCGAGUCUUUGAACGCAACUUGCGCUCAAUGGUAUUCCAUUGAGCACGCCUGUUUCAGUAUCAAAAACACCCCACAUUCAUAAUUUUGUUGUGAAUGGAAUUGAGAGUUUCGGCUUUAUUGCUGAAUUCUUUAAAAUUAUUAGGCCUGAACUAUUGUUCUUUCUGCCUGAACAUUUUUUUAAUAUAAAGGAAUGCUCUAGUAAAAAGACUAUCUCUGGGGCCUCCCAAAUAAAUCAUUCUUAAAUUUGAUCUGAAAUCAGGCGGGAUUACCCGCUGAACUUAAGCAUAUCAAUAAGCGGAGGGAAAAGAA
rnacentral:rRNA from 1 species